GAUGAACGCUGGCGGCGUGCCUAACACAUGCAAGUCGAGCGUGAACCGUCUGAAUGAAACUUCGGUCGAGUGAGGAUGGGGAAAGCGGCGGACGGGUGAGUAACGCGUAGGCAACCUGCCCCGUACAGAGGGAUAGCCUCGGGAAACCGGGAUUAAGACCUCAUAAUACCAUUAUCUCACAUGUGAUAAUGGUCAAAGAUUUUAUCGGUAUGGGAUGGGCCUGCGUCUGAUUAGCUGGUUGGUGGGGUAACGGCUCACCAAGGCGACGAUCAGUAGCCGACCUGAGAGGGUAAUCGGCCACAUUGGAACUGAGACACGGUCCAAACUCCUACGGGAGGCAGCAGUGGGGAAUAUUGCACAAUGGGCGAAAGCCUGAUGCAGCAACGCCGCGUGAGCGAGGAAGGCCUUUGGGUCGUAAAGCUCUGUCGAGGAGGAAGAUAAUGACGGUACUCCUCGAGGAAGCCCCGGCUAACUACGUGCCAGCAGCCGCGGUAA
rnacentral:rRNA from 1 species